ACCUUUGACAUGUACGAAUUCCUUUAGAGAUAGAGGAGUGCUACGAAAGAGACCGUAACACAGGUGCUGCAUGGCUGUCGUCAGCUCGUGUCGUGAGAUGUUGGGUUAAGUCCCGCAACGAGCGCAACCCUUGUCAUUAGUUGCUACAUUCAGUUGGGCACUCUAAUGAGACUGCCGGUGACAAACCGGAGGAAGGUGGGGAUGACGUCAAGUCCUCAUGGCCCUUAUAGGUGGGGCUACACACGUCAUACAAUGGAUGGUACAAAGGGUCGCCAACCCGCGAGGGGGAGCCAAUCCCAUAAAGCCAUUCGUAGUCCGGAUCGCAGUCUGCAACUCGACUGCGUGAAGUCGGAAUCGCUAGUAAUCGUGGAUCAGAAUGUCACGGUGAAUACGUUCCCGGGUCUU
rnacentral:rRNA from 1 species